GCGGACGUAGCUCAAUUGGGUAGAGCAACUUUCCUUCGCUCGCUCUUCGCCCGCUCGUCGGGCCGUUGAACGAGGGUUAUCGAAUUGAAAUCGAGGGAUGCCGGUUCGAGUCCGGCCGUCUGCA
rnacentral:tRNA from 1 species